GACGAACGCUGGCGGCGUGCUUAACACAUGCAAGUCGAACGGAAAGGCCCUGCUUUUGUUGGGUGCUCGAGUGGCGAACGGGUGAGUAACACGUGAGUAACCUGCCCUUGACUUUGGGAUAACUUCAGGAAACUGGGGCUAAUACCGGAUAGGAGCUCCUGCUGCAUGGUGGGGGUUGGAAAGUUUCGGCGGUUGGGGAUGGACUCGCGGCUUAUCAGCUUGUUGGUGGGGUAGUGGCUUACCAAGGCUUUGACGGGUAGCCGGCCUGAGAGGGUGACCGGCCACAUUGGGACUGAGAUACGGCCCAGACUCCUACGGGAGGCAGCAGUGGGGAAUAUUGAACAAUGGGCGGAAGCCUGAUGCAGCAACGCCGCGGGCGGGAUGACGGCCUUGGGGUUGUAAACCGCUUUCGCCUGUGACGAAGCGUGAGUGACGGUAAUGGGUAAAGAAGCACCGGCUAACUACGUG
rnacentral:rRNA from 1 species